AACGAACGCUGGCGGCAGGCCUAAAACAUGCAAGUCGAACGAACCGCAAGGUUAGUGGCGCACGGGUGAGUAACACGUGGGAAUAUGCCUUUCACUACGGAACAACGUCGGGAAACUGACGCUAAUACCGUAUAAUGUCUCCGGACCAAAGAUUUAUCGGCGAAAGAUUAGCCCGCGUCUGAUUAGCUAGUUGGUGAGGUAAUGGCUCACCAAGGCGACGAUCAGUAGCUGGUCUGAGAGGAUGAUCAGCCACACUGGAACUGAGACACGGUCCAGACUCCUACGGGAGGCAGCAGUUAGGAAUAUUGGACAAUGGGGGCAACCCUGAUCCAGCCAUGCCGCGUGAGUGACGAAGGCCUUCGGGUUGUAAAGCUCUUUCGGCUGUGAAGAUAAUGACAGUAGCAGAAGAAGAAGCCCCGGCUAAAUUCGUGCCAGCCGCCGCGGUAA
rnacentral:rRNA from 1 species